GCUGAAUUACGUGCUAAGAAUUUUACAAUAUACUACAUCUACUAUUUACCAAAUAAUGUUCAAUAUAACUAACUUCUAUAUUAUAUAACGUUCGAUAGCAUGACUAAUUAUAAAAGAGUUCUUAAAUCUAUUAGUUCUAAAUUUUGGAAUUUGAUAGUCUCUCAUCCUACGCAGAUUUAUGGUGUCGGAAGCCUUCAGGCUUCAGCGGAAGAAGUGAAGCCAGCUUAUGAUCUGUAUCGCUGGCUAUCAUCUCAAAUAAGUGUUAGAGAGUUCAUCACGUCUAGCGAAAAGUGUUACUAAAUCGAAAAGGGUCCGUUACGAAAAUGAAUUUAAAAGAGACGUGUGAACCAUUACCGUUUGUUAUGCUCUUGUAUCCACGAUGUUGUCUACGUUUAGUGGACGACGAGCAAAUUCCGCUUGCCGCCCUAAAUAUUUGACAGCAUAGAAUCGUAGAUACUUGAGCAAUUCAGAGACCUUACGAUUUUAGGACGGCAACGCGACGGCAACGGCUACCAAUUCAACAGAUCAUUGAAAAGAAUUAAGUAAUUACAAUAUAUGAAUAAUUUAGACAUUGUCCUCGCUCUGUUUACAACGCCAAAUCCCUGAUUUUUACGUCUUAUACAACGGCUGCAUUCCAAGCCACAAAGCAGAACUCUUCCCAGUUCCCAACCACAAAACCCAUGUCUUCAACUUCUAAAACUGUAUUAAAUUCAUACGAUUGAUAAUAUACGACGAACUAUCUUUACUACCAUUUAUUUGAAGGAG